GAUGAACGCUGGCGGCGUACCUAAUACAUGCAAGUCGAGCGAACGGACGAGAAGCUUGCUUCUCUGAUGUUAGCGGCGGACGGGUGAGUAACACGUGGAUAACCUACCUAUAAGACUGGGAUAACUUCGGGAAACCGGAGCUAAUACCGGAUGAUAUUUUGAACCGCAUGGUUCAAAAGUGAAAGACGGUCUUGCUGUCACUUAUAGAUGGAUCCGCGCUGCAUUAGCUAGUUGGUAAGGUAACGGCUUACCAAGGCAACGAUGCAUAGCCGACCUGAGAGGGUGAUCGGCCACACUGGAACUGAGACACGGUCCAGACUCCUACGGGAGGCAGCAGUAGGGAAUCUUCCGCAAUGGGCGAAAGCCUGACGGAGCAACGCCGCGUGAGUGAUGAAGGUCUUCGGAUCGUAAAACUCUGUUAUUAGGGAAGAACAUAUGUGUAAGUAACUGUGCACAUCUUGACGGUACCUAAUCAGAAAGCCACGGCUAACUACGUG
rnacentral:rRNA from 1 species